UGUAUAUAUAUGGUUGGGCAGUGUAUGCAGUGUGUAUGUGUGUGUGUAUAUAAACACACUGCAUACACUGCCCAACCAUAUAUAUACAC
rnacentral:pre_miRNA from 1 species